GAGGUUCGAAGGCGAUCAGAUACCGCCCUAGUUCUAACCAUAAACGAUGCCAGCCAGCGAUCCGCCGAAGUUCCUCCGAUGACUCGGCGGGCAGCUUCCGGGAAACCAAAGCUUUUGGGUUCCGGGGGAAGUAUGGUUGCAAAGCUGAAACUUAAAGGAAUUGACGGAAGGGCACCACCAGGAGUGGAGCCUGCGGCUUAAUUUGACUCAACACGGGAAACCUCACCAGGCCCGGACACCGGAAGGAUUGACAGAUUGAGAGCUCUUUCUUGAUUCGGUGGGUGGUGGUGCAUGGCCGUUCUUAGUUGGUGGAGCGAUUUGUCUGGUUAAUUCCGGUAACGAACGAGACUCUAGCCUGCUAAAUAGACGAUUUCCGGUAUCCACAAUAGUGCUACCGGCGAAAUCAAUAUCUUCUUAGAGGGACAGGCGGCUUUCAGCCGCACGAAACUGAGCAAUAACAGGUCUGUGAUGCCCUUAGAUGUCCUGGGCCGCACGCGCGCUACACUGAAGGAAUCAGCGUGUACACCCUGGCCGAAAGGCUCGGGCAACCCGUUGAACCUCCUUCGUGCUAGGGAUUGGGGCUUGCAAUUGUUCCCCAUGAACGAGGAAUUCCCAGUAAGCGCGAGUCAUAAGCUCGCGUUGAUUACGUCCCUGCCCUUUGUACACACCGCCCGUCGCUACUACCGAUUGAAUGAUUUAGUGAGGUCUUCGGACUGGUGCGCGGCGGCCGCCUGCGCGGCCGCCGAUGCCACCGGGAAGAUGACCGAACUUGAUCAUUUAGAGGAAGUAAAAGUCGUA
rnacentral:rRNA from 1 species